rnacentral:misc_RNA from 1 species
AUUUCAAAAGAAGAGCUUCACAAGCACAAUAAGCCUGGGGAUCUAUGGAUCUUGAUACAGGGCAAGAUCUAUAAUGUAACUGACUGGUCCAUGGUCCACCCUGGAGGUGAGCUUCCAUUGCUUCUACUCGCUGGCCAAGAUGCUACAGACGCCUUCGUUGCUUAUCAUCCUGGUACUGUUUGGAAGUAUCUCGACAAAUUCUUUACUGGGUAUCAUCUUAAAGACUACUCUGUUUCUGAGGUAUCGAAAGAUUAUCGAAAAUUGGUUGCUGAAUUCUCAAAAAUGGGUCUUUUUGAAAAGAAAGGGCAUAUUACGUUUAUUUCUCUAUGCUUCAUGGCAGUGCUGUUUGCUUUGAGUAUAAAAUCCCAUAAACACNUAUGGGAUUUUAUACUCCAAUAGCACAUGGGUGCAUCUGUUUUGUGGUGGUUUAAUAGGGUUUUUGUGGAUACAGAGUGGGUGGAUUGGACAUGAUUCUGGGCAUUAUCAGGUCAUGACAAGCCCUGAAUUCAAUCGUGCUGUGCAGAUCUUAACUGGCAAUUGCCUUGCAGGGAUCAGUAUUGGGUGGUGGAAAUGGAACCACAACGCCCAUCACAUUGCUUGUAACAGUCUUGAUUUCGAUCCAGAUCUGCAGCACAUGCCUUUCUUCGCGGUAUCUUCGAAAUUUUUCAGUUCAAUUACGUCUUAUUUUUAUGAAAGAAAGAUGAAUUUCGAUUCCGUUGCUAGGUUCUUGGUUAGUUAUCAGCAUUGGACUUUUUAUCCUGUUAUGUGUUUUGCCAGGAUUAAUUUGUUUGCACAGUCUUUCUUGCUCUUGGUAUCUAAGAGAAGGGUUGUCAAUAGGGGUCAAGAGAUUUUGGGAGUACUUGUGUUUUGGAUUUGGUAUCCUUUACUUGUUUCUUGCUUGCCCAACUGGGGAGAGAGAGUGAUGUUUGUUCUUGCCAGUUUCAUAGUCACUUCUAUUCAGCAUGUUCAGUUCUGUUUGAAUCAUUUCUCAUCCAAUGUUUAUGUUGGUCCCCCUAAUGGGAAUGAUUGGUUUGAGAUGCAAACAAAGGGCACACUCAAUAUAAAUUGCUCUUCCUGGAUGGAUUGGUUUCAUGGUGGAUUGCAGUUUCAGGUUGAGCACCAUCUGUUCCCCCGUUUGCCUCGAUGCCAUCUUAGAAAAAUCUCACCGUUUGUUAAGGAGCUAUGCAAGAAGCAUAAUUUGCCUUAUGAUAGCGCAUCAUUCUGGAAUGCUAAUCUCAUGACAAUUCGGACUCUUAGGGCUGCAGCCUUGCAGGCUAGGGAUCUUGCAAAUCCAGUUCCAAAGAAUUUAGUUUGGGAAGCUGUUAAUACUCAUGGAUGAGAUGGGGAUCCUGUGAAGCUUUCCGAGGUUGCUGCAACACCUCAGUUAUUUAUGCCUAUUCAACAUCCUCCCGUGAUUUAGGUGUUUAUAACUUGAUUUGAUUGAUGUCUGAGGGAGGAUAUCUUUGAUUUCAGUGGAAGAAUAAUUAUCUGUUACUUCUUGGAGGCUUCAAUUUUUAUUUUAUUCAUAAGUUGGUUCAUGUAGUUUUUGGAUUAGUUUAAAGAUCGUUCAUCAUUCAUGCUGGUUACCGACAGGCUGAUGUAGUUCUCUCCCCUUGUUUGCGCUCAUGCAAAGGGAUUUAGCGGAAUGUGUACUAGCAUAUUUCCAUUUACUGCUUUCUUUUGAUAGUUCAGUGUUGGGCCUUGGAUUUCUUCAAAGCUUACUUUUAUAUUGGCUUUGAGAUAAAAAUCAAAUCCAAAACAAGCAAUACAUAAAGAAAUCCAAGGCCCAACACUGAACUAUCAAAAGAAAGCAGU